CCUACGGGGGGCAGCAGUGGGGAAUAUUGGACAAUGGGGGCAACCCUGAUCCAGCCAUGCCGCGUGUGUGAAGAAGGCCCUCGGGUUGUAAAGCACUUUCAGUGAGGAAGAACGCCUGGUGGUUAAUACCCAUCAGGAAAGACAUCACUCUCAGAAGAAGCACCGGCUAACUCCGUGCCAGCAGCCGCGGUAAUACGGAGGGUGCGAGCGUUAAUCGGAAUUACUGGGCGUAAAGCGCGCGUAGGUGGCUUGAUAAGCCGGUUGUGAAAGCCCCGGGCUCAACCUGGGAACGGCAUCCGGAACUGUCAAGCUAGAGUGCAGGAGAGGAAGGUAGAAUUCCCGGUGUAGCGGUGAAAUGCGUAGAGAUCGGGAGGAAUACCAGUGGCGAAGGCGGCCUUCUGGACUGACACUGACACUGAGGUGCGAAAGCGUGGGUAGCAAACAGGAUUAGAUACCCUUGUAGUC
rnacentral:rRNA from 1 species